rnacentral:rRNA from 1 species
AACGGACGCUGGCGGCAGGCCUAACACAUGCAAGUCGAACGAGAUCUUCGGAUCUAGUGGCGGACGGGUGAGUAACGCGUGGGAACGUGCCCUUCUCUACGGAAUAGUCCUGGGAAACUGGGUUUAAUACCGUAUACGCCCUUCGGGGGAAAGAAUUUCGGGGAAGGAUCGGCCCGCGUUGGAUUAGGUAGUUGGUGGGGUAAUGGCCUACCAAGCCGACGAUCCAUAGCUGGUUUGAGAGGAUGAUCAGCCACACUGGGACUGAGACACGGCCCAGACUCCUACGGGAGGCAGCAGUGGGGAAUCUUAGACAAUGGGGGCAACCCUGAUCUAGCCAUGCCGCGUGGAGGAUGACGGCUUUCGGGUUGUAAACUCCUUUUCUCUGGGAAGAAUUUUGACUGUACCAGAGGAAUAAGUCACGGCUAACUACGUGCCAGCCCGCCGCGGUAAU